AGCAGCCGCGGUAAUUCCAGCUCCAAUAGCGUAUAUUAAAGUUGUUGCAGUUAAAAAGCUCGUAGUUGAAUUUCGGGAUCAAUACGUCGGUCGUGCUUCGGUACGUACUGGCGUCAUUGGUUUCUCCCUUCUGACGAACCAUGAUGUCAUUAACUUGGUGUCAUGGGAAAUCAGGACUGUUACUUUGAAAAAUUAGAGUGUUUAAAGCAGGCUCACGCUUGAAUACAUUAGCAUGGAAUAAUGAAAUAGGACGUUCGAUCCUAUUUUGUUGGUUUCUAGGAUUAACGUAAUGAUUAAUAGGGAUAGUUGGGGGCAUUAGUAUUCAAUUGUCAGAGGUGAAAUUCUUGGAUUUAUUGAAGACUAACUACUGCGAAAGCAUUUGCCAAGGAUGUUUUCAUUAAUCAAGAACGAAAGUUAGGGGAUCGAAGACGAUCAGAUACCGUCGUAGUC
rnacentral:rRNA from 1 species